rnacentral:lncRNA from 1 species
AUAAAAAUUCCUGAAUAAAGGCGGUACUUAUCUGUAGCAUAGGAGGCUAAAAGUACCGGGUACCGCCUCCUAAUGAAUGGCCUGAUAUUAUCAUGAAAUAUAUGCCUGCUGCUGUUGAGAAAAAUAUAUUGAAAAAAGUGAUUGUUGGCAAUUUACAGUAAGCAAUGACCAAUUCAGAUGGGGGCAUUCAGAGGAUGUACAUCCCUUUGAUAGAAAAAAACCCACUUUUUUGGCAUCAAAUGAUCUUGAUGUAUAUUAUGAUGGACAACUAACCCAUUU